rnacentral:rRNA from 1 species
AGUGAACGCUGGCGGCGUGCCUAAUACAUGCAAGUCGAACGAAGUGGCGCACGGGUGAGUAAUAUAUAGUUAAUCUGCCCUACACAGAGGAACAACAGUUGGAAACGACUGCUAAUACCUCAUAGUGUAGGAUGAGACUAUAUCGUAUCAGCUAGUUGGUAAGGUAAUGGCUUACCAAGGCUAUGACGCGUAACUGGUCUGAGAGGAUGAUCAGUCACAUUUGAACUGAGAGACGGGUCAAACACCUCCGGGAGUCAUCAGUAAGGAAUAUUGCGCAAUGGGGGGAACCCUGACGCAGCAUCGCCGCGUGGAGGCUGACACUUUGCGGGGCGUAAACUCCUUUUAUCAGGAAAGCGGUACCUGAUGAAUAAGCACCGGCUAACGCCGUGCCAGCAGCCGCGGUAAUUC